GUGUGAUGAUCGGCUAAGUGCCAAUGUCUGUGAUACUAUUCGGAUCCAUGAUAUUGCUUAAAUCACCUAUUUCGAACUACCAGGUCAUGAUGCUAUGCAUUUGCCAUGCCUUCAAAAAUUGGACACCUCGACAAGGGACCAAAUAUGGCAUAACACUUUGCCACCCACUUUCUAGUGCUAAAUACUUCACAUUGAGAAGUAGGUC
rnacentral:lncRNA from 1 species